rnacentral:tRNA from 1 species
UGGAGUAUAGCUCAGUGGUGCAGCACUUGCUUAGCAAGCAGGAGGCCCCAAGUCUGACUCCUGGUACCAA